UCUAAGGAACCAGCCACCAUUAAUCACCUCCAGGUGCAGCAUUUCAGCUCACCUGUAGGAGAUCAAUUGUAUUAGAUCAGCCUAUAUAUAAAGAGAAAAGGGAAGAGGGACCUAGCAGGAGAGUCCACUGCACAGAGGAGUCCACUACCAAGGAAAGGAUAAAGCCAGAUGAAGCACCACAAUGCAGAAACAAGAGAGGAUGAACAUUGGAAAUUAACCAGAGAGCUGUGAGGAGCGGAGUUCAGUGGCGUGGUCAUGAUUGCACUCCAUGGCUGUGUCUGCUGUACCCACACUGUGAAUAAGCAGAUGUCUUCAAACUCCAUUGCUGUCAACUUGAUACCUUUAAAGAUGCACCAAGACCAUGCAAAAAUGCAGAACACAAAAAGACUUUCCAGUUCUGUGCAUGCAACAUCCUUACACCACCGGUCAAUGUUCUCCGUCUAUCAUGUGAUUGGUUCACAUCACUGUCAAUCCCUCCCCUUUUCAAAGGAACACCUUUCUCCCCUGCACUCUUCACAAGAGAAAAUGGCUGAACACCGAUUCUGAUGAAGCAAGAAAAAAACAGCCCUUGGCUUUUGCCUUUGAAAGACAGCCUUUGUGAGGCAGUCUCGAGCUGCUUCAGUCACUCACCAAGGCUCCAGCAUACUUUUCAUCAAAAGAAAUGUAAAAUCUAACAGGGCCUAUUCAUGCCCUGCCAGCCCUGGUUGUGCUGAUGCUAUAUAAUAUCAGCCCUGUGCUGGCUGGAGAAUUUGUGGAAUUCCAAGUAGGGAAGAAAAACGAGGACCCAGGCUGUUUCUUUGUAAACGUACUGCAUGCUUCUUUUUUUGUGUGUGUGUCUGUGCGUUACAUUUUGAUAAACAAACAACUAGAUUAACUUAAAGGGACGGGGUGUUGAUUUGGAAAGAAAUGCACACACUUUGUAAUUAUUAUUAGUAUUAUCCCAUGAUAUGUGUUGGUAUUAAUUAAUUAUUACUGUUUCUGCAUAUCUGAUAUGUAUCAUAACGUCAGCAGCUUAUUUAACCUUCCUCAGAGCAAGCCUAAGAAAGCUGGAAUUGUGUAAUAAGGCCAAAUAUAAAAAAGACCACUAGGGGUGCACUCAGAUGUGCCGGAGCCAAGGGGGCCAUGGCCCACUCACUUUUUGACAAAAGAAGCAUGCACAGUUGAAAAAAAGGUGCUUGUAUAGCACACAAUGUUUAGUUGUGGUUAUAAUCUGUCUCCUACAUAAAAUGAGGCUCUGAUUAUAUCUUAUAAGAAUCUACCGUACUAUCCUGAUGUCUAAUGCUACUGCUGAGUGCCUUCGACAGCUGAAAACAUAUGUACGAUCAUCCAUGACUAAGGUUGCAUUUUUUUCAUGGUUAUCAUAGAUUUUACAGUUUCCAUGGAAAUGUACCUAUUGCCAUGCAAUAUGUAGUUCUCUCUGAAAAUUCCAAUUUCUUAAAGAAUAGUGUAAAUUUGCAUAUUUGUAUCACUUAAAAUAAGUACAGAAAACAUUUGCCUUACUGACAUACUACUAGUUACACUGAAUUUAUGAACCUGGGAGCUGGUUUAGUUUGCUUCCGGUAAAUGAUUGAACACACUGCAUAAAGCUGCACGAUUUCUUAAAAAUGUCUUCAACGAAAAAGACACCAGCUGCAUCAAAGAUUGGACAUAUUUCUGCUAAAGAUCACUGUGUCCAGUACAAAAAGGGGACAUUUCACUUGACUGUUGUUAUUUUUACAUUUAUUAAUGUUUUUAUUUUGUUUGAUAAUUCACUGAUGGUGAAAAUAGAAUGUCUUUAAACGUUGGACAUAAAAAAAAAAAUACUACAAUUCAGCAAUUAAUAUUUUUCAGGUAAGCAUUUAAAUAUUUAGAACAUUUGUUUUAUAAGAUAACUCUAGAGAAAACAAAUGUGACAACGCAGUUUUUGCUUUAAUACAUAGUAUGCUUAAUCAUGAAAUACCUAUUUUCAGACCUUGAAAUGCCAUGAAAUAACCCUGUCCAUAACUGAACAGCGUUUAAACCACCUCCUCUUCUUCCAUAUUCAGAAACUUGACUGAUUCUCUAGAUCUUAAAAUGUUUUUUGUAACUUUUGUGUUGCCAGAGGCUCACACCAUAUUUUUUGGAAAUAUGCGAAAACGUACAAUCCAGUGUUAACAUUAAAUUGUACAUAAAGGUUUUAUAUACAAGUGGCAUUGUCAAAGCCUGUAUACUGCAGUUUACUGAUAGGUUGUGCUUCUGUAUGUAACAGCCAUGUGUGUCUGUUUCUGAAUAACAGAGUAAAUUGUAAUAAUAAGCGUAAGUUCUGGUAAAGUUUGCAGUUUUGUAUUUAUUUAUUUUUUUGACAAAAUGAAUAUGUCUAAUAUUAUGUUAUGGUUGAAUUUUGUAAUCUGGUUAUUUAUUUUACAGUUUUACUUUGUGGGAUGUU